UUUUCUUUACAUUCGUCGCGUUGACCCGGUAGAUGUCAUGCCGUUACUAAUGGCUCUCCUGAAUCCGCUUGAGAGAUAUAAAAAGUCCUGGAUGGUGUGACAUGUUCCGAGGCUUUGUUUUUUUUCUGUACAAAAAGCCACUUUGUUUUAAUAGCAGCGUGUUAAAGGCCAGAAUUUAAAGGUUGCUGCUUAUUUUACUUUGUAAAAUUCAGCUUCUUCUCAGCUCCUAAUAUGCAGAAACACUUCCAGCCUGCAGGCACAUAAGCGUUGGGCUGUAGUAUCUCAAUGUAGACAAUGUGAUGCUGUGACUGUGCAUGAGACAGAUAAAAAAGGACUGAAAGCUGACCGGAAACAAAAGUAAAACUGAUUGACUACAGUUUUAUUGUUAAAGACGCACAUGCAGGCGAGAAGCUCUGUGUCUGUUGGAAGUGUGGGAAAAUGGUGUGAACUGGCACAGUCCAUCUCUUAAGAAGCGUGUUCAUAUGUGCUGAAUGCGUGAUGGACAGAGAAAACAGGCGAUAUCUUGUGCGUGGGAUGGAAGAGGAUAUAUUUGAUUUUCUUCUGAAUAGCAAGCAUUGAAUCAUCUUUUCUUGUACAAGAGAAGAAACAUUUCUCAUGCACUUGCUGAGACAUUUUAUUUCAACUAAUAUCCGUGUUUGCUAAAACUGUGUACACAAAGUGAGCUGCCUUUUCAAACAUCAUUGGAUUUUUCAAGUUAAAUCUUCAUGCUUAUUGCAUCUGUCACUUCUGGGAUUCACUCCAAGCAAAAGGCAGAGAUUCAGUGUAAUGGCAGUGAAAUGGAAUGCACAGAAGGAUAAAAUAUCAGCUUUCUUUAGUGAUAUAGCGAAGGAGUACGAGAGAUCUACACUCAAUGACUGUGCAUUACAUGCAUCAUGUUAAAGUUUAAUACUAAGAGGUUAAUGACUGCUUCAUAAAAUGGCUCAUUAAAGCACAGUGUUGCAUUUUGAUUGUAAGAGCAUUUAUGUUAUUGUUUUUAAUUUGAUUAUUGAUUCCAAGAAAUAUAAUUAACUUGGAUGCCAGCUUCCUAUUUUGAAGACAUGAGCAAAACACUUCCUGGCCUGAG
rnacentral:lncRNA from 1 species